rnacentral:tRNA from 1 species
GCUGGAAUGGGUAUACAGGCUAGUCUUAGAAACUAGUGUACUAAGUACAUAAGGGUUCAAGUCCCUUGGAGGGU